rnacentral:rRNA from 1 species
AGCAUAUCAAUAAGCGGAGGAAAAGAAACUAACAAGGAUUCCCCUAGUAACUGCGAGUGAAGCGGGAAAAGCUCAAAUUUAAAAUCUGGCAGCCUUUGGUUGUCCGAGUUGUAAUCUAGAGAAGUGUUAUCCGCGCUGGACCGUGUACAAGUCUCCUGGAAUGGAGCGUCAUAGAGGGUGAGAAUCCCGUCUUUGACACGGACUGCCAGGGCUUUGUGAUGCACUCUCGAAGAGUCGAGUUGUUUGGGAAUGCAGCUCAAAAUGGGUGGUAAAUUCCAUCUAAAGCUAAAUAUUGGCGAGAGACCGAUAGCGAACAAGUACCGUGAGGGAAAGAUGAAAAGAACUUUGGAAAGAGAGUUAAACAGUACGUGAAAUUGCUGAAAGGGAAACGCUUGAAGUCAGUCGCGUUGUCCAGGGAUCAACCUUGCUUUUGCUUGGUGCACUUUCUGGUUGACGGGUCAGCAUCAAUUUUGACUAUUGGAAAAAGAUUAGGGGAAUGUAGCAUCUUCGGAUGUGUUAUAGCCCUUAGUUGCAUACAAUGGUUGGGAUUGAGGAACUCAGCACGCCGCAAGGCCGGGUUUUUAACCACGUACGUGCUUAGGAUGCUGGCAUAAUGGCUUUAAUCGACCCGUCUUGAAACACGGACCAAGGAGUCUAACAUGCCUGCGAGUGUUUGGGUGGAAAACCCGAGCGCGUAAUGAAAGUGAAAGUUGAGAUCCCUGUCGUGGGGAGCAUCGACGCCCGGACCAGACCUUUUGUGACGGUUCCGCGGUAGAGCAUGUAUGUUGGGACCCGAAAGAUGGUGAACUAUGCCUGAAUAGGGUGAAGCCAGAGGAAACUCUGGUGGAGGCUCGUAGCGAUUCUGACGUGCAAAUCGAUCGUCAAAUUUGGGUAUAGGGGCGAAAGACUAAUCGAACCAUCUAGUAGCUG